ensembl:lncRNA
UUUUUUUUUAUAAAUUUGACAAAAGGGACACGAACACUGGGAGAACGAGGUGAUUUUAUUUUUGAUCUGUAGUUGAUGAUUUGAUUUGUAAAUAUGAUUGCUUGAGGGGGUUACUGUACUGGGAAACUCUGAGCAGCCACGCGAGUUUAAGCUCAAAGGGGUUUGAAGUGUUUGAUCACAGCAAGAUGCCAGUUAUGUUUUCUUCAUCUGAAAUACUAGAAGAGACCGUCUCUGAGGAAAGUUCAGCUCUGUAAAGUCUACUUUGUUCAUCAGAGCGUCAAGUCCGAUGGGUUAUUUUGUGACGCGUCCAUUGAGUUCGUGAUUUUUCUGAGGUCCAGACAUGACAUCAGGUGUCUGAACAGUAGUCAACAGAAUUCAAAAGAAGCAUCAGAAGUCCCUGAUUUUUUUUUUGCUGUUUUUUAAGGUGAAAACCUUAAAAAAACUUUCCCGCUUUGUGUUCCUGAAACCAACCCUCUGAUAUGAAUAAGGUCAUUUUCCGAGUAAGUCAUUUUGCCCAUUUUCUCAGUUAUCUUCUGCUCUGAAAAGAGAAAAGACAAUCGACAGACAGAAAGGAAAUGACGCUACUGCUUCUCAGACAGAAUUACAGCAUGUUCCGAGGGUUUAUUUGACAGAACCCAUCAUCACAGUUAUUGUUGAGAUGAAAGCCUAAUUCUCAGAGGCCUACUGGAACAAAAGUAAUUCAGACAACUCAGGAAGCACAGAGCUGGAAAAGCAGCUAGUUGGGCAGCCACAAUGACUCUGAGGUGGCUUGAAUAACUUUAACCUCUAAACCUUCUUGGCUGCUAUCAGAUCAUAAAACUUGAGAUGAAAAAUACCCCAAACUUUUUGAUAGUCUAGAUGAUUACUUAAUAUAGCUACUAAAAGUUAGGUAAUAGUUUCUCCUAAUAGUUGUGUAGGAUUAUUUCUACCUUGAAUUUUAGCAUUACAUAGUAAGGAUAUUCUACUUAGCAACGGAUACGGCGCUCCUUGGCGUCAAAUUGAAGUUUUGUCUAUAAAAUGUCAAUAAAUAUGAGAAAUACCCACAAGAGCUUCUCAAAAACCAAAGUAGCUCCUUUUUUCCUUUCCAGAUAUGCUGGAUAUUUGGCCUGCCCCGUCUCUUAAGUAAUCAGGAACAACCAAUCGCAAGGCCGCACUCGGUAGCGUUUAAACAAUAAUCACAGAUCUUUUAGAUUAUUGCACGAACAAAUGCCCAGGAAAUAAACCAUUGUUUCUGCAUUCAUUCAUAAAGCACCACGAAGGUAGAAGGUCACCAUUGUCUGUGAUUAUUGUGACAUCUGUGAAUCUAGUACCAAUUGUUGCUGAUAGUACCACCCUACUGAACACACACACAGCGUAGUGUGUUUCUUUUUUCUUUUUAAAAAAAAGUAAUUUCAUUUCAGUUUAUUUAACCUACUAUUCAGUCCCAGGAAUCGGAGUUGAACUUGUUCCCUUAAAACUCAGUCCUGCUUGGAAUGCCUUUUGAUAAACAGUGAGACAAUAGCUGGAAGUCCUCUCAACGCCUUCCUGUUGGGGUUUAAAUAUAUAUAUAUAUAUACACUUAGCCAGUUCCUUCUCCUCAGUCUUAGCUUUGCUCUCCUUGUUUGCCUCACCAUAUCUCCUCGGCGCUGUCUUUUUCUCCGUCGUCUAAUCAGUGAGACCAAACAGUGGACUCAACUUCCUGUCCAUCUGGGAGGUUGUGCCCGCCUCUUCCUGUCUGUGUUAUCUUUCUCCUGGGCCAACACAUUGUGCUCACUUCCUGCAAGUCCAGCCUGAGAAAUGGGCUUGAAGAGGAAGAGGGAGCGAGGCAAGGAGCCGCAUGGGACGAGGUUGGGGGUUAAGAAGAAAGAAAGAUGAAAAGAACAAUGCAGAGCAAUGAUUAGUUUUCCAGCUGAACAGAAACACCUCAGAGCAAAGAUGUGUUUUUUUUUGACCUGUACAAUUUGCCAUCCUCAUGAAAGAAGGCUGAUCCCACCAGUAAAUAUUACGUUUAUUUAAAAAAAACAAAAACAAACAAACACAGUCUCAGUUUUGUGGCUUCAAAAUGGCAGGAAUGGAAUCUUAAGUACUCUUACCUUCAGUUUAUUUCUCCUCAUUGUUUUUAGGCAUUGCACUCAUGAUCUUGGUCAAAAGCAACCCACUGUUUUGUAAGUGUAAAAAAACCUUCAAAUAUCUCUUAAAAAUUCUGGCACAACAAGCACCACUGCUAAAAAAAAAAAAACCAUUUCUAGAAUCUAAGAAUCUUAGCUAGUUUUAUAAUCCAUGUCCUUGCUCGGUGAACAAACAAUGGCUCAUUUUUCUGUCUGACAUCUUUGUUUGAGUCAAAGAAUGGAAACAAACUUUGUAAACUUUGGUUCAAUUUUGCUUCAUUGUGCAGUGAAAGAAAAACUUUUUGUCUUGUUAUUUCAAGCUAUUUCGUGGCUCUAAAAGUAACAGUAAUCUUUUUUAUGUGUGUGUGCGUGUGUGUAUGUUCACUAUUAUUGUAAUCAUGGCUGUUAUUUAAAAGGUGUUCCCAUGAAAAAGAAAAACUUCAUUGUUAAAAACCAGCAGGCUGUAGCAGAGACAGGUGCUCCAUUAUCUACUUUCCUAAAAGCAACAAGUGCUGGCUGUACUUAGGUGAGAAAAGCUGGCACAUUAUUCGAGGCAGAUGGACAUUCGCUAGCAAUUUUGGCCAGCAGUAUUUUCAACUUGUUAAGCUCGUUCCAAAACGAUAUAAAAUGUAGCACAUACAUUUUUAUGACAAAAAUCCAUUAAUAGAAUACAUCAAUCAUUAAACACUUCCAAAACAUGGACCAUAUAGUCAGACAUGGCGUAAUAUUUUCCAGAGCGUGUCAUAUUUCUUUUUUCUUUUUUCUGCCAGGACCAAGACUUGGACAUAUUGGUUUAGACUAACAUGUUUCUUCCAAUCCAUCAUGCCCAGCAUGCUUUCAUUUUUAGGAAUUUUCUUGAGCUCUUCACCCGCUUCUCCACACUUAUUCAUCAGAUUUUGCAACUUCCAACAUUUUCCAAGUAUUACAAUAACACGCUACGGGACAAUGACAGCCAUACGAGUACCAUAAUUAAUUUGAUAUGUUGGUUAUCAGUGGUUGUGGGAGGACAUUUACCUCCCCUGCUGAAGGAGUCACAUUGGAAGCAGUGAAAAUUAAACCUCUCAGGGUGGGAUCCCAACACAAAAAAGUUCUUCACAUGAACGUGAAGAAACAAAAAUAUGUAGUGUGGUUUAAAAGACAACAUUUAAGUGUUUUUCUUCUGUUUCUGUCUAAUGUUUCAACAAGGGAUUUUAUUUUGAAAUGUAUAUAGAAAAAAUGUGCCUAAUAGGGAUCUUUCUCUGGCCUCACCUUGUUUAUUUUUUUCUUAUUGUUGCUAUUAUUUUUGCCUAAAUAACUGUAUUUAAAGGAUUAUAAACUUGACACUCUCUUUUUUUAAUUGCUGUAUAAAGGAAAACUAGAUUCAGUUUCAGCACAUGAAAGAAAAUAGUGUUUGAUGCAUGAAUGAGUCCUCGAGUGAAUAUGUAACUUUCUGCUUGUGUGUCCACUUUUGUGUGUGUGUGUGUGCGUGUGUGUGUGUGCAAGGGUGCUUGUGAUCGUACCAUGACUGUACCCAUGUAGAUAUACACACAAAUGAGUAUCAGACCAGUUAAAAAAAACAAAAAAGGGAAAGAAACCACAUUUCUCUUGUGUGAAAACAUUAAGGUCUGCAAGGGAGCGACAUGUGCCUUUACUCUUUAAAAAAAAAACAUGUAAAGAAAAAGAAAAAUGCUUUUUUUUGAUGGUGAACACGAUGUUUUCUAUAGUGUUUUAUGGUGUACAGCAACUACUUUUUAUUACAUGAAUUUUUGUAAGUGUAGAAGAAUAAAAAUCCACUCAAAUAUG